rnacentral:rRNA from 1 species
GAUGAACGCUGGCGGCGUGCCUAAUACAUGCAAGUCGAGCGAACAGAUGAGGAGCUUGCUCCUCUGACGUUAGCGGCGGACGGGUGAGUAACACGUGGAUAACCUACCUAUAAGACUGGGAUAACUUCGGGAAACCGGAGCUAAUACCGGAUAAUAUAUUGAACCGCAUGGUUCAAUAGUGAAAGACGGUUUUGCUGUCACUUAUAGAUGGAUCCGCGCCGCAUUAGCUAGUUGGUAAGGUAACGGCUUACCAAGGCAACGAUGCGUAGCCGACCUGAGAGGUGGAGGGGCCACACGGAAAGAAGAACACGGCCAAGACGCAAGGGGGAGGAAGAAGAGGGGAAUGUUCAAAAAGGGGCAAAAGCCUGAAGGACCAACGCGGCGGGAGAAAUGAAGGUUUUGGGAACAUAAAACUGUUUAAUAGGGAAAAAACAAAUGUGAAAGAACCUAUGCACUUUUAGGGGUUACCUAAAAAGAAAGCCAGGGCAACCUCCGUC